UACGGAGGGGCUAGCGUUGUUCGGAAUUACUGGGCGUAAAGCGCACGUAGGCGGCUUGCAAGUCAGAGGUGAAAGCCCGGGGCUCAACCCCGGAAUUGCCUUUGAGACUGCAUCGCUAGAAUGUGGAGAGGUAAGUGGAAUUCCGAGUGUAGAGGUGAAAUUCGUAGAUAUUCGGAAGAACACCAGUGGCGAAGGCGACUUACUGGACACAUAUUGACGCUGAGGUGCGAAAGCGUGGGGAGCAAACAGG
rnacentral:rRNA from 1 species